GUCCUUUUGGGGGACAUUGUAUAAAAUGAGAACGAUGAAUUAGCAUGACCCUGGCGCAAAAAUAAUACAAUUAAAUCAAGAAAUGGUCGUGUCUGUU
rnacentral:snRNA from 1 species